GUAAAAAAAAAAAAAAACAAACAAAAAAGAGAGGUUACGGAAGCGGAAAGGGAUGCUAGACAUAAAUGCGAAGUAUAAACCAGAAACACGCUAUACUGCUGGAAGAGAAUCUUUCGUGCCCAGUCGUUAGUUUUAUUGAUAUGGGCGGAUCACGGAACGGAUCUAUUUCCAUGUUUCUGUGACGUCAAUAGAAAAAUCGUAUGACGAUCGCGUUCCAUGUUAAAUUUCCAGACCGUCGAGUGUUGUUUUUUUCUUCCGUGUUGUCUAACUCGAAACGAUAUUAACACGCCUAGUUUCGACACUCGCCGCGACGCGCGAUCGAUAUGCGCGAGAGAUGACGUUAACGAUUUUACUCCCCCUUCUAUUUUUAUUAUUAUUGCACCCGAAACGCUUAAAAGAUUACUCACGCCCGGACGAAAGUGAAUGCACUGACGAUUAAGUUUCGGUUUCUUUACUUUUUUUUUUUGAUUUCGUCGCCGGUUUCUGGAGCGAAAGUUAAAACGUCGCCAACGUCAGGCGACAUAGUUGCAAUCGCCAUUUGCGUCGUUUCUAAACUCGCACGAAUGACGGAGUUUCCACUCGACGUUUUCCAGUUUUGGUACUCGAUCGAUUCUUUGUAAUAACGAGUUACAAAACAGGAACUUAUGCCAAAGUAAUAAAACGCGCGGAAAUAAUUCACUGGUUGACUUAUUAUUGUCGAAUAUGUAAUUUUCCUAAGCGUGUCGCGGAACGGAACCAUUCCGUAUUUAGUAACUUGAUUACUUAUUAUAUUAACUGCGACGUCCUAUUUUCUAAUCAAAAUGUAUUAGAGCUUUAUUUGCUUGGCGGAUCUUCGUAGGAACAAUUUAUUCCGCAUUGUGCAAACCGGACGAAAAAGUAAGAUAAAUAUUUUAUGCAAGUCUGUCCGACAGAAUAAGUUUUUAAUAGAACUACUUACUGUUUUAUAGAACACGGAAGUUUUCUAAGAAAGUGUUGUUGUUUCUCUUUUAAACUUAUAAUUAGUUUACUGUAUAGGUUUUGUUGUUUUCAGAUACUCGUAGUUUAUACACAGUUUUUCAAACGUUC
rnacentral:lncRNA from 1 species